ACCUCAGGUUCACCGAAGAUGAUUUCCUCUGCGGCUCUGCCACCAAGUCCACCAACAAUUCUUGCAAAGAGUUGUUGCUUGGAGAUCAAGGUAGGGUCAUCUGAAGGAAUGAACCAGGUAAGACCGCGUGCCUGGCCACGUGGAAUCAAGGUGACUUUUUGAACAGGAUCGUGACCCGGUGUCAAAGUUCUGAGACAUGAAGGUAUCACAAUCGUAAGUUUCUUAAACAGUCAUUCUAAAAUAAAGACGACAGUAUUAACAGAUAAAAACGAACAAGCAUGCAUAAUGAGAGUUGAAGACGUUAUUUGAGGUAUGAAACACGAAAAGUAAAUUAAGAUGCUCUUAUUUCACUCACCCGCAAAUGGCAUGGCCGACCUCGUGGUAUGCAACCAAGCUUUUGCUCUUUCCAUCAGUCAUAACUGUUCCUUCCAUUCCAGCCACGAUCCUAUCAAUUGAAUCAUCGAUUUCUUUAGAUGAAAUUGCGGUCUUGCCACGCCGACCAGCCAAUAUAGCAGCUUCGUUUAAUAGAUUUGCUAGAUCUGCUCCACUAAAACCAGGCGUUCUCAUGGCUAUAACAUCAAAUGAUACAUCAGUUUCAAACUUCUUGUUGCUACCAUGAACCUUUAGUAUCUCAGUUCUGCCUCUGAUAUCCGGAACAUCAACAGUGACCUGCAUUAAAGCAUCAUGUUGGCUACUUUGUUGUGUAGCUAAUAAGAAUGAUACAACAUACAAGCAAUAAUUAUAUGUUUUUACCUGUCUAUCAAACCGUCCUGGCCUCAACAAAGCGGAAUCAAGAAUGUCAGCUCUGUUAGUUGCUGCAAUUACGAUGAUACCGGUGUUACCCUCGAAACCAUCCAUUUCGGUCAAAAGCUGGUUAAGAGUUUGCUCUCUCUCAUCAUUCCCUCCACCAAUACCAGUUCCUCUUUGUCGUCCAACGGCAUCAAUUUCAUCCACAAAGACAAUACAGGGGGCAUUCUCCUUGGCCUUCUUGAAAAGAUCACGAACUCGAGAAGCACCAACACCAACAAACAUUUCAACAAACUCAGAACCGGAAAUGGAGAAGAAUGGCACACCAGCUUCACCGGCAAUUGCCUUAGCAAGAAGAGUCUUUCCGGUUCCAGGAGGGCCAAUGAGAAGAACACCUUUAGGGAUACGAGCCCCGACUGCGGUAAAUCUUUCUGGCUUCUUUAAGAACUCCACAACCUCCAUGAAGUCCUGCUUUGCUUCAUCAACUCCAGCAACAUCAUCGAAUGUUACACCGGUGUUAGGUUCCAUUUGAAACUUUGCUUUCGAUUGACCAAAAGCAAGGGGAAAACCAGGCCCACCCGGACCUCCCAUUCCACCAGACGAUCUCCUUGAAAGAAGGAACAACCCUCCAAUCAAGAUUAAUGGGAAUGCUAGAUUGCCAAUCAAGUUAAAUAACAACGAACCGGAGUCUUCUUGAGCAUUAUGGGCAGCAAAGUCAAUGUUCUUCUCCCUAAACUUCUGAAGAAGU
rnacentral:lncRNA from 1 species